UCCGUUUGUGCACUUGUUUUGGAGAUAAGUCGAACGUUUCACAGAAAGCGGAAUGCAUGCAUAUCCAAUCGAGUGCAACACAACGAGGAAAUGAAGCGAUUGUUUAAUCGUGUAAAUAAUGACUGGAGCGUAAUGAAAUGAUACCAUAUCUUAUCAAAUUCGUCAAACGGAUGAAAGUGCAAGAACAAAUAAUUGUGCACAGCGUUGAAACAAGUAUUUGACUACUGUCAUAUUUUCGCCAUACUUGAUUAGGAUAUUCCGUUCAAAAGCGGUAAACAAUUAAUGCACAAACACUACAGAACAUACUUCGCAGCAAGUAUAACACCAAUGAAGAGCUUCACACCGAAGGCAUAUUUGUGGCCCGACAAGGCGGCACUAUAAAAGCAAAUGGUCUGUUCAGUAUUGGGAUUGGUGAGAGGUUCGUAAUCGUCGCCGGCAUCAAUCCCCGAGGACCGGAUAUCGACUACAAAUCGGUGUCUCUCAGUCCGGUAGGUUUGCUCAGUGUCACGUACACAAAUGCCAGCAUGAUUGUAACAAUCUCCAGUCCGCUCAAAGGCAAGAAUUCCAUUCAGUUAUGCAGCAGUAGCAAGACCGCCGCUAUAUGGGAUGGUUUCACAACAGCCAUUGAUUACCAUGCGUCUGAAAUUAAGCGACGACAUUUGGUGCAGCGCGUCACUUAGUGCGUCAUCAUCAUCAUCAUACACCUCUGUGAAUGCAGAACAAGAAUAUACAUAUGAGAGGGGCUUCAAAGGCCUGAACCUUCUCAAUUACAGAUGUCUGUCUCAUAAAAAGGUUUCUUACGGCAGAUAGAAGUUUUAGCUUUAUUUCAUUGCCCGAUAUAGUAUGUGGACCAACCGAUGCCAAGGACGCGGCGUGCCGUCAGCAUGUUAAGAGAGGUCACAGUUUGGACUGUGUCGACGUGUCUUUUGAAAGCCUCAUUAAUGAUAAUGAUACCAACCGAAAUGCAGCAAUUCAACAGGAAAACAUUACUGCGCCCGAAACAGUUAUUGGGCAAAAUUGCGGGCAAUUAAACGACGAGCGACGGACGGAUAUGUCAAGAAAGCAGCCCAGUUUAUUUGAGAGGUUCCUGCGCUUCUUUACCUGCUGUAUAGGCAAGCGUUGAUUUUUGUUGAAUGAAUCUAUGAUAUUUUACUCGAGAAAUCAAUUUUCACAUUUUUGUUUAUAGCAAUAAAUUCAUUGCAUGAACAAAGUAGAUUUUGUUUGUUUUAUUAUGAAAAUGUGUGAGUUCUUAUGAUUGUAUAUUGAGAAGAACAGGUCUCGGGCAAAUAGUAGCACUAACAUUAAACCUUACGGACUUGGACUACGUGGCCCCGUAAUAUCAACUAUCUGACGAGAAACCUUAUUUACGACUGUAUUUUAGUGUUACUGAUACCAUGGUCAUUAAUAGAAUAACAGAAAUAAACAAAUUUCUUUUGUUACUUAAAACAACUUAUCUUCAAAACUUGUAUCGUACAUUUGAUUUGUCUGACGAUAUUUAGUAAGACAGGCUCCUGAAAAAUCUAGUACCAGACAAAACAUGGUUUACCACACGUUGUUGUUGUUUGUUACAUGGAACAUGUCUGGAUGUAAAGAGCUUUAGGAGCAUCGCAGUCAUCUACAACCCGAAUACCCAGGCUUGGAUCGAUCUACGCUGGCCGCAUUUGGAACACCGGAACAAUCUCCAGACAUACUGACCGUGUACGUCACACAUGUGUGAUAAGAUGUUGCCUAAAAUAAGUGAUGUGGCCACUGUUUGGAGGUUAUUCUCUCAAAUCAGCUGUUGAUAAAGUUCAUUUAAGGUGUAAAGCUGGGUAAGACAGAUACGCCGAUAAACUAAUAAUAUAUAAGUUUAUUCCUCUGUUCAUAUUUUUCUUAAAUCCUAAACUAUAAAUGCGAUCGAACGUAGGCAAAAGAUAAAUAAAUAUGUAAUAUACAGAUGUAAUGUAAAUAUGUGCCAAUGAUUAAGCAAAAUAAAUG